rnacentral:lncRNA from 1 species
ACAGAGUUACCUGUGCCUUCAUCUUGACUGUUUUGACAUGAGAAACAAAGGAAAAGAUCCAAUUUACCUUCUUCCUUGUGAUGACCAGUACAAUCAAAAGGGUGGCAUCUUAUGAUGCAAACAGAGGCAAAAAGAAAAUAUGCCAAUCUGCUCCCAUCAUCCAUCCAAAAGAUAUGCUUCUUCUUUCUUUGCAAGCAUAUCAAAUAUGGAGCAGAACUUUAGUUAUACAGAACAAAGGAACAAAUCUUUGCCAAGAUUAGUUGGUAUUGGAUCUUGGAAUCUUGGGAAAGGGAAGGCAUGGACCUUGGUGUUUGACCAUUGGCCAACUCUUCCAAUGAGGAGAAUUGACCUGCUUCAAUAUUUAAGACAUCAGCAGUGGGAACUCUUUAUCUCCUCUCAGGUUUUUAGGCUAAGCACCAGGAAGCUGAUGAAAGGAUAUUGGCACAAUCUGAAUUGUUGCAUGGCACAAUCUGAACUCUUUAUCUCCCCUCUUUUCUAAUGAUUGUUGCAUGAGCCUUCGCCUAUAUACUGACAUAUCUGCCUGCCUCCCUGCAUUGUUCAUACUCUUGUUGGUAGGUGCUUGAUGAGGUGAACAGGAAAAGUAUUCGUGAGGGUGAUUACUAAUUACUCCAACCUUUCCCUUCGAUUCUAUUGCUCGUUUUGGAAUCCAUGCGAAGCCAAAUCAGUCUCCUGAUGCUGCAGCUCUCUGCAAGUCCUGAUUGCUCUGCGAUUCCCUCCUAGCGAUUUGAGUUCGUUCUUCUUGUUGCUUUGGAGUCCACAUGCACGUCA